GCGAUGCAGCUGAAUUGGCUCUGCUCAAGUUCAGGAGCGAUGUUGCUGGGCGAUGCCGGCCUGCAAAAGCCGAUAGGUUUUGCAUUCGGAUAGCCGGCAACUCCUCUGCACUCUUGUUCAGAGCUGGCCAACAACGGUUGCCCGUGGCUCAGAAGGACGGUUGGGAAGGUAGUCACUCUUCGGGGUGAAACUUAUAGCCAUCCGCCUGGCAGUCCGGGGGCGACCGAGGAUAACUGGCAGUGCAGGCCUUAGGCUUGGGCCGCUUCUGGCCGUUCYGGCACCGCGGUUGGGACUGCGUGCAGUGUCAUCUGACGAGUGUCUGCUCGGACGGGAGACCGGUCACACCUUGCGCUGUAGUUGUUGGUGAUCAAAUGGCUGCAUCCGA
rnacentral:rRNA from 1 species